GGGUCUUUGGUGUAAUGGCAACAUGGGAGACUACGAAUCUCCGGCUCUGGGUUCGAUCCCCAGGAGACCCU